GGAGACAGCAGUGGAGACAACAUGGGUGUGAGACACGGCCGCUGAAAAUGUAAACCAGCCGUGAGGAGGGCAGAGGAUGCGACAGAAGGAAGCCGGGAGGGUCUAAGAUCCCCUGAAGGACCAUCUUCAUCUGCCGCUGCCAAGUCUACGGACCCGAUGCUUCUGUGCCCAGGCUCACCAUCAUCACUCCCAGAACGUGAGACCCCAAAGAGCAAGGACUGUGCUGACCUUUUCAUUGCUGAUCUGCAGUGUACAGCAAGUCCCUGGCACCAGGACGUGCUGAACCAAUUUUGCAGAAUGAAGGAAUGAGCCAUCCUCUCAGAGGUGCUGAGAGCAGAAGGCAACUCAGCGAGUGGAUCUGACAAGGAUGUUUGGUUUGAAGCCCUGUUAAUAACAAUUUCUUUUGUUCAUCUCAUCCUUGAAUGCUUUUAUAAAACUCAUUGAGCCUCACAACUGCCCAUUGAUAGAUGUGUCCGGGCAUGCCUGUGACAGCUUGGAAAUGGCAGGUCACAGAGGUUGAAGGUAUGAGCUCAAUGUUAAAUUGGAGACAGCUGGGCAGGCACCCAGGGUUGUUUUGAGUCUCAGGCUUUUCCCACUAAACCAAGAUGUUAAUCUCUACCUCUGCUCCUCCUCUCAUGCUCCCGGAGUUAUUUUUCUUAAUGAAAGGUUCAGAUUUGGGGACAACUGCCUUGGUAGUCAUAGAGCUGGUUAAAACACAAACAAACCAAAAAAAUGAGACAGACAAGGCCCCUCUCAAGUCUUUACUGCAAAGAAUCCUCUUCUGGGAACAAAUGGGGGCAGAACAGGGC